AGAGUUUGAUCCUGGCUCAGGAUGAACGCUGGCGGCGUGCCUAAUACAUGCAAGUCGAACGGGUGCUCGCAAGAGCAUCAGUGGCGAACGGGUGAGUAACGCGUUGGUGACCUGCCCUGGAGAGCGGGAUAACAGGCCGAAAGGCUUGCUAAUACCGCAUGACCAAAUGGUAGUUAGAGAGCCAUUUGGAAAGGACGUAAGUCGCUCUGGGAGGGGCCUGCGACCCAUCAGCUAGUUGGUAAGGUAACGGCCUACCAAGGCGAUGACGGGUAGGGGACCUGAGAGGGUGGCCCCCCACAAUGGAACUGAAACACGGUCCAUACACCUACGGGUGGCAGCAGUAGGGAAUAUUGCUUAAUGGGCGCAAGCCUGAAGCAGCAACGCCGCGUGUGCGAUGAAGGCCUUCGGGUUGUAAAGCACUUUUUGCUGGGAAGAGGAAGGACGGUACCAGCAGAAUAAGCCUCGGCUAACUACGUGCCAGCAGCCGCGGUAAUAC
rnacentral:rRNA from 1 species